AUGCUGCCGGCUGGCGUCAAGUUCGAUCCCAUGGAUCAGGAGCUGAUCGAGCACCUUGAGGCCAAAGUGAGUGCUGACAGCGCGAGAUCUCACCCUCUCAUCGAUUUGUCCAUACCAACCAUUGGCAGCGAGCACGACAUAUGCUACACCCAUCCUGAGAAACUUCCAGGUAUCACACUGAGUGGCCUAAGCAAGCAUUUCUUCCAGCGCAACUCUAGGACGUUCAAAAGGGGCACUUGGACGUAUCGCAAGAUACAGUUAGAGUGCGGCAUGCACGCGAUGUGGCACAAGACCGGCAAUACCUUGUUGGUGAUGGUCAAUGCCCGGCAGACGGGUAGCAAAAAGGUUCGGGUGCUGCACACCAACAAGAACUUCAACCAGCAGAGGACCAACUGGGUGAUGCACCAGUAUCUCCUCGGGGACCUGGAGCAAGAGAAGGAGCGGGAGCUGGGGAUCCAUUCGGUUUCACAGGCUGAUAGUUGGACGCAGCACGUCGGAACUGGGCUGUGGCAUGCCAAGCCCAGCUGCAAAUUGUUAAAAGAGAGGAGCGAUGGAUUUGGGCCUUCCAGAAUAGUUAAAUGUCGCGACCUUGAUCGUGAAGCGCCUUGCAUGGACAAAAAGGCCUAG
rnacentral:rRNA from 1 species